rnacentral:rRNA from 1 species
GAUGAACGCUGGCGGCGUGCCUAAUACAUGCAAGUCGAGCGAACGGACGAGAAGCUUGCUUCUCUGAUGUUAGCGGCGGACGGGUGAGUAACACGUGGAUAACCUACCUAUAAGACUGGGAUAACUUCGGGAAACCGGAGCUAAUACCGGAUGAUAUUUUGAACCGCAUGGUUCAAAAGUGAAAGACGGUCUUGCUGUCACUUAUAGAUGGAUCCGCGCUGCAUUAGCUAGUUGGUAAGGUAACGGCUUACCAAGGCAACGAUGCAUAGCCGACCUGAGAGGUGGACAGGCCACCGUGGAACGGAGACGCGGUCCAGCCUCCUCCGGGAGGCAGCAGGGGGGAUUCUCCCGAAAGGGGCGAAGCCCGGCCGGAGCAGCGCCGGGGGGGGGAAGAAGGUCUUCGGAUCGUAAAACUUUUUUAUGGGGGAAAAACAUAUGUAAAAGUAUUUGUCCACUUCUUGACGCCCCCUAAUCAAAAACCCACGCCUAACCACGCG